AUGAUGCUGAGUAAAAGGAAAUUGCUGCAGAAGGUACAUGUAGAUUCGGGGAGUGAUCAGUAAUCACACAGAGAGAAAGAGAGAGAGAGAGUAAAUCUUUCUGAGGUUGCUCUGCAGUAGCUUCUCAGUUAUACACAAUGAUGCGUCUGAUUCCACUGUGUGUGCUGAUCAUCCAUGUGGUACUAACCACAGGACAAACAACAGUGGGGCAAACGUUCAACCAAACAGCAGGACAACCUUUGAGCCAAACAACAGCAGGACCUUUAAACCAAACAACAGUGGGGCAAACAUUCAACCAAACAGUGGGGCAAACGUUCACCCAAACAGGACCUCUGAGCCAACCAACAGGACCCUUCUACCCAUUUGGAACUGGAGACAUAGUAAAUGGCCGGAUAGAUGAUGGAAGUUCAUCUGUUAUCACUCUUCAGCAACCAUUUAUAUAUUUUGGAACCACAUACAACCAAAUUUUUGUAAACAACAAUGGACACUUAACCUUUAAUCAAGCUUUGAGCAGUUUCACUCCUUACCGAUUCCCGGCACAGGGUGGACUAGACUUAAUUGCUCCAUUUUGGACUGACCUUAAUAACAAUUUAAAUGGUGUCAUCUCAUACAAUCAGUUCACUUCUGGCAAUGUUCUCACUCAAGCUACUCGAGACAUCAGUCGCUAUUUCCCUCAGCUGAGUUUCACUGCUACAUUGGUUUUUGUUGCAACAUGGGAUCGAGUGGCAUAUUUUUCAUCUACUGGCACGGAAACAUCUUUCCAAGUAGUUUUGAUUUCCAAUGGCCAUUUUUCCUUCAUUUUGAUGAACUAUGGUGUGAUUGCUCCAACAACCCAGAACGUGCAGGCGGGUUAUGACACAGCUGACUCCAGCAACUUUUUCUCAAUUCCUGGGUCAUUUCAUUACAACUACACAAGUUUUUCCUACAGCAGCAAUGUGAAUGUCCCAGGACGAUGGGCUUUUCGUGUAGAUCAUGGAUCACAAACCUGUCAGUUUAAUGGUAUCAUAGUGCCACAAGGUACUGUAUUCUGGACAGAUAACUCUUGCCAGCAGAAAUGCACUUGCACUCGGUCGGGUCUCCGGUGCGUCUCAGAGCCAUGUACAUUUUCUCAAGCUUGCCGUCCGGCUGCUUUCCAGUAUAGCUGCCAAAACGUACAACGCCGAACCUGCACUAUUUCUGGUGAUCCGCACUACUACACCUUUGAUAAUCAAAUCUUCCACUUUCAAGGAACCUGCACAUACAUCUUGUCUGAGGCCUGUGGCAGCGGCUUGCCAUACUACCGCAUUGAAGGAAAAAACGAGCAUCGGAGUAGUACACAUGUGUCAUGGACACGCCUGGUCAGGGUAUUUGUGUAUGAGGAGCAACUGGAAUUAGUAAAAGAUCAUCCAUAUGAGGCCAAGGUGAAUGGAACCUUUGCAGCAACACCAUUCAGCCUGAACAAUGGCUCUAUCCAAGUCUACCGGUCAGGUUUUUCAAUUGUAAUCAGUACAGCAUUUGGAUUGGUUGUUACAUAUGAUGCGUAUUCCUAUGUAACCAUCAAUGUACCUUAUGAAUAUCAAAAUUCCACAUGUGGACUGUGUGGUAACUUUAACCACCAACCAGCAGAUGACUAUAUUUCACCUUCAGGAGUAAUCCUGGGCUCAGACUUGGAAUUUGGAAAUUCCUGGAAGGUACAGGGAGACACAGAUCCCAGCUGCGAUUAUAUUCAGUGCUCAGGUCUUGCAUGUGCAGGUUGUACCACAUACCAGAGUAGCCUUUACAGUAACUCAGACCACUGUGGUAUCUUGGCAGCUGCCAGUGGCCCCUUUGCAAAUUGCCACUCCACUCUGUCACCACAGAAUUUUCUAGACAGCUGUGUCUAUGAUCUAUGUGUGGGAGGUGGAUACCAACCAAUUCUUUGUCAAGCAAUCAGUGUUUAUGCUACUCAGUGCCAACAGCGAGGCAUACAGCUGGGUCAAUGGAGAAGAACGGGAUUCUGUGAAAUACCAUGUCCAGAGCACAGUCACUAUGAGUUCCAGGGAACAAGCUGCCCAGCAACGUGCAGUAACCCCUUUUCACCUUUAAACUGCACCUUACCAAACCAGGAAAGCUGUAUCUGUGAUGCAGGCUAUGUCUUAAGCCGUGGUGAAUGUGUUCCUCAAAGUAACUGUGGCUGCACUUUUGAAGGACUUUACUAUGCUGAUGGUCAAUCAGUGGUAUUGGACAAUGAGUGUGGUAGGAUAUGUACCUGUAGAAACAGUGUAAUGACCUGUCAACAUCAUCAGUGUGGUUCACAAGAGGUGUGUACCAUCAAUAAUGGUGUAAGAGGCUGCAGACCUACCAGUUAUUCCACCUGUUGGGUUGACCGAAUAGGCUCAUAUCACACCUUUGAUGGGGUGGCUUUCACUUAUCCAGGAGCCUGUGAACUCACACUCACAAGAGUUAUAGGAUCUUCCACAAGACCUCAUUUUUCAGUUAACCUGCAAAGAGUCCCCAUGGGCCCCGUUGGCUUUUCUAAGAUCCUGAAGUUUGAGGCAGAGGGAUUUCAGAUUUCUAUAGACAUUGCGGAAGGUGGAAAUAUCCAGGUUGAUGGACACCUGGUUGCUCUACCAUACAGUGUUGGUGCUGGUCAAAUCCGUAUCUACCAUGGCAGUGUAGAUAGUAUAAUUAUGGAAACAUCAUUUGGGGUAACUGUGAGAUCCGAUUGGUCACAUCUAAUUAGAAUUACAGCACCCAACACCUACAGUGGGGCACUUGCUGGUCUGUGUGGAAAUUACAAUAGAAACCAAGGAGAUGAGUUUUACAGCCCAGAUGGAGUUUUGUUAAACAAUACACAGGAGUUUGGGAAUAGCUGGAGAAAUGGUUCUCUUUCAACCUUCUGCAUAGGAUCAGAGGUCAUCUCACCAGGAAACAACAGCAGCGAGUUCAUAGAGUACUGUAGCAUCAUAACCUCUACAAAUGGGCCGUUUGCUCAGUGCCACGGCAGCCUGGACCCUCAGAUUUGGUUAGAACACUGCAGACACAAUUUGCAACAGACACAUGGUGCCAGAGAGGCCAUGUGUGAGGCUCUAAGAGACUACGCUGUACUUUGCCAGCAAAAUGGUAUCAGUGUGGGAGAAUGGAGAAAUAUAACCAACUGUGAUUCCCCAUGCCCAGCCCACAGCCACUAUGAGCUUUGUGGCACUUCCUGUCCUGCAGCCUGUCCAAGUCUGUCUUUUCCAUUCCCUUGUACCCAACAUUGCCAGGAAGGUUGCCAGUGUGAUAAUGGGCUACUGCUAAGUGGAGAUCAGUGUGUUCCUCCUACAGACUGUGGCUGUUUUCAUGAAGGUCGGUACAGACAGAGUGGAGAGCAGUUCUGGUCUGGUGAGCAGUGCCUGUUACACUGUGUAUGUGAUGGGACAUCAGGUAUUGUUCGCUGUACUCCUGCCUCUUGCCAAGAGCAGGAAAUAUGCCGUGUCAUGGACGGAGAAUAUGGCUGCCAUGCUCAACCCAGUGCCACAUGCUCAGCUUCAGGGGACCCCCACUACAGCACAUUUGAUGGACAUAGAUUUGACUUUCAGGGCACAUGCCACUAUACACUGGCAACUGUAUGUAAUGAUACUCGAGGGCUACCAUAUUUUCAUGUCACUGCACGAAAUGAAGCAUGGAAUGGCGGCUCAGUGUCAAUCACUGUUGAAGUUUAUGUCAAUGUGUCAGGACACCUGGUGCACAUUUCACGCGACAUGUAUGGCACAGCUGAGAUUGACAGUGAAACCAGAAAUCUUCCUGCCCUGCUCGACUCUGGCCGUGUGUUGGUUUAUUUCAGUGGAAGAAACACAUUUAUUACAACUGACUUUGGUCUAAGUGUGAGUUAUGGCUCUUGGAUGGUGCAAAUCACCGCUCCAGGGAAUUACAGUGGAGCCACAUGUGGCCUUUGCGGUAACUUCAAUGGUGACAGCAGUGAUGAUUUCCGUUUGCGUUCUGGUACGCUGACUUCUUCUGCUUCAGAGUUUGGAGCUGACUGGAAAGAGGGCAACGACACAACAUGUAAUCACGGAUGUGGAGACGCCUGCUCACAGUGUCCAAACCCAUCUAGAGCACAGUCUCUGUGUGCAAUCAUAAUGGACAAUCAGGGUCCUCUGAGUUUCUGUCAUGCAUAUGUUGAUCCUCUUGUCUAUUUUAACGACUGUGUCUUUGACCUGUGCCUCUCUCAACACUCGAAUGAUGUACUGUGCCGUUCCAUUGAAACAUAUGUCAGUGCCUGCCAGUCUGCCAACAUCAGGAUUUAUCCCUGGAGAGAAAAUACAACAUGUCGUAUAUUCUGUCCUACAAACAGUCACUAUGAGCUGUGUGGCUCAGACUGUGGACACACCUGUACCAGCAUUAUAAAUGACACAUGUGAGGGGACAUGCAGAGAGGGCUGUUUCUGUGAUGAUGGCUUUGUAAGGAGUGGAGGAAACUGUAUGCCUGUAGAGCAAUGUGGUUGCUCACACAAUGGAUUCUACUUCCAGAUCGAUGAUGAGUUCUGGACUGAACGAUGUUUACAACACUGUAAAUGCUUUGGUCUCAAUGAUCUGCACUGCAUUUCUGCCUCCUGCACUCCCACUGAGGAGUGCGUGGUUAAGAAUGGUAGACUCGGCUGCUACAGCCAAAUGUCAACAUGCAUGGUCUCGGGAGAUCCCCAUUAUUAUACCUUUGAUGGAGCUGUGGCUCACUUUCAGGGCACUUGUUCAUAUGAGAUUUCUCAGACAUGUGGAAAUGUCCAUCAUGAUGGUCUACAAUUCCGUCUGGUGGCAACCAACAUGCAUCGUGGGAGCAGAGCAGUUUCCUUUGUAUCUGCAGUGGACAUUUGGCUAAAUAAACAAGAAACACAAACACAAAUUACAAUUGGACAAAACAAGAGAGUAAAGGUUAAUGGAGUUGAAGUGGAUUCAUCUGCUUAUCACAUCAAUAAUCUUGCAGAAAUAUAUCAGGAGCAGAAUUUUAUAGUUGUAAAUGCUUCACAUGAGCUCAUGGUCUACUACGAUGGCCGUUAUACACUUUUGGUCAGGCUGGGUCCAAGCUUCCAUGGAUCUGUGUGUGGAAUGUGUGGGAACAAUAAUGGAGAUCCUACAGAUGACAAGACCCUGCCGAAUGGAGAACUUGCACCCAAUGAUGUUGUUUUUGGCAACAGCUGGAAAUCAAACAUCAGUAGUGCAAGAUGUGGUGUUAAUGACCAGCCUGUUGAUCCUAAUGACUGCGCCUUCAGAGAGGAGUACUCUAGACUCUGCAGCAUCAUCACCAACACCAGUGGACCAUUUCAGCACUGCCAGUUCCGUAUCAACCCUGAAUCCUACUUCAGUUCCUGUGUGUAUGACAUGUGUGCUUACCCACAGGCAUGGGGACAAGACAUACUCUGUUCAGCUGUGGAGGCCUAUGAUGCUGCUUGCACCACACUGGAGCUCCAGAUCCCAGACUGGCGCUCUGAUUUAUCUUGCUCAAGAAUGGAUCCCUGUGAGAAUCUGAACUGUACUGCAGAUGAGUGGUGUGGGGAGAAAGAUGGCAUCUAUGGCUGCUUCUGUAAUGAAAAUGAUCCCAGACCAAACCCUGAUCAUUAUGAUGCUACUGAAAUGUGUGAAAGCAGCUCUGGCACCAUGUCUCUGUCCCGCUGUCAGCUGUUUGAAGCUGGUUUUCCUGUGAGUAACCUCCACUUAAAUGACCCGAGCUGCAAAGGAACAGUUCAUGAUGGCAGACUGGUGUUCCACUUUGACAAUGAUGAACACAUCUGUGGCACAAAUCUUACGGCCAAUGGAACCUAUUUUAUUUAUGAGAACCGAAUCCAAGGGGAAGUAGACUCUCCAGAAGGCCCUAUUCACAGAGCGAAAAGACUGGAACUUUAUUUCUCCUGCAUGUACCAGCUCACUCAGACAUCUAGCAUAGAUACUGAGCUAAAUUCUGUUCAGAGCAUUGUGCACAAGGAUCUUCCAGAUGGAAAGGGCAUGUACCAGGUCAGGAUGAUACCCUUUGAAGAUGCUGGCUUUUCACACCGGUACACCGGCAGGGUGAAUAUAGAGGUGGGCCAACAAAUCUACAUAGGAGUCUUUGUUCAAGGAGUGGACAGCCAUCAGAUUGCCACAGUGAUAGAUUCAUGUUGGGCCACACCUGUAAAAGAAGCAAAUUACACUGUCCGCUGGGACCUGAUUAAUCACAAGUGUCCUAAUGCAAUUGAUGGCACAGUGAAGAUGAUUGAGAACGGUGUCUCCACAACUGGACGAUUCUCCUUCAAGAUGUUUUCGUUUCAUAAUGACGAAUCCAAGGUUUUCCUUCACUGCAGCAUUCACCUUUGCCUUCUGAGAAACAACAACUGUGCAGUGCGCUGUUUCAGUGGACAUCACCAUCGUUCAAGCAGAUCUGUGGACGUCCAUGAUAGGGCCUUAAUUUCCAUUGGGCCUUUUAUCUGGUCCACUAAACGAUAAGAGGCGUGCAAGCCCACGAGGAAACGAAAAGGCCUUUAAUUGAUUUCUUGGGCAUCUAGGAAGAAAAACCCUGCAGCUGCUGGGGAUGUAGAGGGACAAAUAAAACCAACUGCGAGUUCUUCCUCUAUGUAUUAUUUUACUGCCUUGGUUUCAGGCAUGAAAAGGGGAAUACCCAGCACUGGGGUGGGGUCAUGUUGUAUGUAACUUAAUGAAACAGUCCCAAGGUUGAUGAAAAGUUAGAAUGGUGGCUCUGUACCUAAUAAAACCCUUAAACAUGCUAUUCUUUAUACAUGUUGGUGGGCACGGUGGGCAUUGGACUUCUACAGAUGUCAAACGACAGAGUAGUUGAAUCUGAUUGUCUUUAUAGUGUUCAAGCAGGUUGGGGAUGGUUAAUUUAAUUUCUUUUGAUGUCAGGAGAUCACUGGAUUAUGGGAUUGAAACCAGGGAAACCCUAGGAUAAUGGAAUUGGUUGGUGAGGAGAUGACAUUAGUUUUUUUGAUAUGAAAUAGUCUCACACCAAUAGUCACUAGGGAGGUUUGUUUAGUUAUGUAGCCUUCGUCAUCCACCGCUGUGAUCCUCUAGAGCACAAUGCAAGGGACUGUGGGGAUCUUGAGUUCUUCAACCACAUGACAGAUGGUGGACCCAUGGUGGAGUCUAUGAGAGCUGAGAAGACCUGGGUUCCAUUAGCACCAUUCACUUGUGCCAGUAAUAAGAGACUGGAAAGACCAGGGGUAGGGCUCACUUCAAGUUCUCAUGGAUGGCCCUGGUUCCAUAAAUCCAUGUACUGGGAUAAGAAGGUGUUCUGCACUGUAAAUUACAUCCUGCCAUCUAGCAUCCUUUCCGGUUAGCAAGGUUAGCAUAUGUGUGCAUUUAGCAGUUUUCUUGCCAAAGGCUUCAGGUUGAUGGGAGACGUAGACCUUUCAUUGUCUAAGAAAUCCACAACAGCAGCCUGCAGAACCAUCAAAUUUGUCAGGUAGAGUCAUUUUAGGUUAUUUGGGUCAGCCGGUUUGCAGGAAGAGGGUGUUAGCCACUUGCUGAGCCUUGAGCUGCUCAUAGCAUUUCUCCCUAAUUGUAACUGCGGUAAAUUUGCUGGAUUUCCAGAAAGGUAAAUUAUUCUGUGACGCUGAAGCAAAGACAGACAGUAUGGAAUCCAUGCAUGGAUUAGAGAACUAAAAAAACAAAACAAAGAAUAUAUACAAAAUCCAUAAACAGGGUCAAUAAACCAACAAAGUCUGUAAAAGACAAUCCAGGAGGUAAACAAUUCCAAUAAACACAAAAGAGAAAGCGUGUGGUUGAUAAACAUAAUAAACAUGGGAAAAUGUAGAUUAUGAAAUGCUUUGUAAUGUAAAACAAACACAAUACUUCGCAAAAUGAUAGUAGCAUGAGCAUUUGUUAAGUAGGCUAAAAACAGAAUGUGUCUCUUGAACUGGAAGAGCUAAAUAUUCAGGUGACAUUUCCCCCUGGUGGCAAAGCAGGAAAAUAGUAGCAGGAACUGUUACAACUGUGCAUGAUCGGAACCACAAUAAAGAAUACUUGACUUGAUUUUACUUAUUGUAAAACACUUUGGGUCAGCUUCUGUAGCAUUAAAUGUACACAAUAUAAAUAAUGGUUGAUUAUUAAAUGAAAUAUUAUUUAACUGAUUGUUUUCAGGUUGUUUGGUUGUAAGAUGGAGGAGAAGGAAACAUUCUAGAGU